AUAGGCUCAGGCACUGUGCUGGCUGGGAUCUGCAUUCUGUCCCUGCUUCCACAAGGAAUAUGAGGAAGACUGAGCAGCACCAUCACAGCCUGUUUCUCUUCAGCAUAAGAAUCUUCACAUUAAGAUCCAGCCCUUUCUAUUCACCCUCUUAA
rnacentral:lncRNA from 1 species